rnacentral:rRNA from 1 species
CAAAAACAUGUCUUUUUGAUUAUAAUUUAAAGUCUAACCUGCCCACUGAUUUUAUAUUUAAAGGCCGCAGUAUUUUGACUGUGCAAAGGUAGCAUAAUCAUUUGUCUUUUAAUUGAAGGCUAGAAUGAAUGGUUGAAUGAAAUACUUACUGUCUCAUUUUAAAAAAUUAAUAAUUUAGCUUUUAAAUUAAAAGGUUUAAAUAAAAAUAAAAGACGAGAAGACCCUAUAGAUUUUUAUAUUAAUAAUUAAAAUAUAAUUAAUGAUUAAAAUUUAAUAUUUAUUAUAUUAAUAAUUAAUUGGGGUGAUUGGAAAAUCUAAUAAACUUUUUUUAUUUUAAACCAUUGAUUUAUGAAUAAUUGAUCCAAUAAUAUUGAUUAAAAGAUUAAAUUACCUUAGGGAUAACAGCGUAAUUUUUUUAAAGAGUUCAUAUCGAUAAAAAAGAUUGCGACCUCGAUGUUGAAUUAAAGAUAAUUUUUAAAUGCAGAAGUUUAAAUGUUAGGUCUGUUCGACCUUUAAAUCUUUACAUGAUCUGA